rnacentral:rRNA from 1 species
AUGGUACCUUGUACCUUCAGACAUCCAAACAAUCCUUCCAUCUGGAUAGAAAUGAGCUGUAGAAUAGAAUUGCAUAAUGAGCUCAUCAUUCCACUUGGUCAAUUUCUGACCCACAAAGGUGUCUACUCCAUUGAGUAUGAAGCUCUCAUGUACUCCAGGGAAGUGGUUUUCAUUGUUGUCAAUAUACUUCCAAUCUACCCACUUUGUAUCACAUACAAUAGGCUUCUUAUCCAACCGAAUUGUCUCAUAGAAGUCUUGCUGCUCCUUGGUAUGAAAUCUAUAGUCCACAUCAGUCCUUCUCCUCACAGCAUAAGGGUCUGA